UAGGGAAUCUUCCGCAAUGCGCGAAAGCUUGACGGAGCAACGCCGCGUGAGUGAUGAAGGUCUUCGGAUCGUAAAACUCUGUUAUUAGGGAAGAACAAAUGUGUAAGUAACUAUGCACGUCUUGACGGUACCUAAUCAGAAAGCCACGGCUAACUACGUGCCAGCAGCCGCGGUAAUACGUAGGUGGCAAGCGUUAUCCGGAAUUAUUGGGCGUAAAGCGCGCGUAGGCGGUUUUUUAAGUCUGAUGUGAAAGCCCACGGCUCAACCGUGGAGGGUCAUUGGAAACUGGAAAACUUGAGUGCAGAAGAGGAAAGUGGAAUUCCAUGUGUAGCGGUGAAAUGCGCAGAGAUAUGGAGGAACACCAGUGGCGAAGGCGACUUUCUGGUCUGUAACUGACGCUGAUGUGCGAAAGCGUGGGGAUCAAACAGG
rnacentral:rRNA from 1 species